GUCUUUAAAUCUUGGAGUUCAACUGUCUGGAGAAUCAUCUGAAAUAAAACCAUGGCUGAUGAAUUUCCAGAUCCUGAUGAGGAGUUUGAAUUAAUGCACGCUGAUGAAUUUGAAUUGUUGGAUGAAAUUGAAAAUGAUUUUCCCCCUGUCAGCGCACCUGUGACGAAAGCCAAGAGGAGUCUAGAUUUCAGUUCCUCAGCUCAUGCCAGUACAUCAACUUUCAACUCCAGUAACUCAAAAACAUCUGAUUCAUCCAAAGAUGAGCAGAACCCUGCUGUAUCUCCUUUGUUACCUAUGCCAAAAACACCAGUCAAUGCAGACACUAGCAAAGCUCGAAUUCCAUUCUCAGAGAAGAAUGAACAUGUCAAGCCACCUGAAAACAAUGCAACCGCAAAAAUUCCAGAAGAAAGUGAAACGACAAAAAGAGCACGGCUAGAUGAUGAAGAAGAAAAUGAGAAUAGCUGGGAGAGCGGGACACCUAAAAAAGGAAAUAGGAAUGAAUUCAACAAAAGAACAGUUGAUGAUCUUUUUGGAGACAUUGCGGAUAUUGAAUUAGAGGAACUUCUCAGUGGUGCAAAACGAAGUAAAACUGAUGUAGCUUUGACGGAAGAUGAAAAGCAGGAAAUGAUGAUAGCAAAAAUUUUAGCUGAAAGAAAACGGCAACAGGCUCUCAAACUCAGAAGUUUUUCAAGUGAUACAAUUGAUUCAAGAGGAAAGUGCAAAGAGUCAGUCUGCAUGUCUCGAAGGGUUCCUAAGUGGGCAUUUUUCCAAUUACUGAUAAAAAAGGCCUUCGGCUGUAUGCUCGUCUUCGAUCUGAUGACUAUAUCAAACAAAAGGUGUGUAUUCCAAGGAUACCUUCAAUUCUAGUCAUUAUAAAUUUUAAUCUUGCAUUUCAU
rnacentral:lncRNA from 1 species